AUUGAACGCUGGCGGCAGGCCUAACACAUGCAAGUCGAGCGGAUGAAGGGAGCUUGCUCCUGGAUUCAGCGGCGGACGGGUGAGUAAUGCCUAGGAAUCUGCCUGGUAGUGGGGGAUAACGUCCGGAAACGGGCGCUAAUACCGCAUACGUCCUGAGGGAGAAAGUGGGGGAUCUUCGGACCUCACGCUAUCAGAUGAGCCUAGGUCGGAUUAGCUAGUUGGUGGGGUAAAGGCCUACCAAGGCGACGAUCCGUAACUGGUCUGAGAGGAUGAUCAGUCACACUGGAACUGAGACACGGUCCAGGCUCCUACGGGAGGCAGCAGUGGGGAAUAUUGGGCAAUAGGCGAAAGCCUAAUCCAGCCAUGCCGCGUGUGUGAAGAAGGUCUUCGGAUUGUAAAGCACUUUAAGUUGGGAGGAAGGGCAGUAAGUUAAUACCUUGCUGUUUUGACGUUACCAACAGAAUAAGCACCGGCUAACUUCGUG
rnacentral:rRNA from 1 species